rnacentral:rRNA from 1 species
UACGUAGGGGGCGAGCGUUGUCCGGAUUCAUUGGGCGUAAAGCGCGCGCAGGCGGCUGGGCAAGUCGGCCGUGAAAUCUCCGGGCUUAACUCGGAGGGGUCGGGCGAGACUGCGCAGCUCGAGGCGGGUAGAGGGCAGUGGAAUUCCGGGUGUAGUGGUGGAAUGCGUAGAGCUCCGGAGGAACACCAGUGGCGAAGGCGGCUGCCUGGGCCGACACUGACGCUGAUGCGCGAAAGCCAGGGGAGCGAACGGG